rnacentral:rRNA from 1 species
GACGAACGCUGGCGGCGUGCUUAACACAUGCAAGUCGAACGGAAAGGCCCUGCUUUUGUGGGGUGCUCGAGUGGCGAACGGGUGAGUAACACGUGAGUAACCUGCCCUUGACUUUGGGAUAACUUCAGGAAACUGGGGCUAAUACCGGAUAGGAGCUCCUGCUGCAUGGUGGGGGUUGGAAAGUUUCGGCGGUUGGGGAUGGACUCGCGGCUUAUCAGCUUGUUGGUGGGGUAGUGGCUUACCAAGGCUUUGACGGGUAGCCGGCCUGAGAGGGUGACCGGCCACAUUGGGACUGAGAUACGGCCCAGACUCCUACGGGAGGCAGCAGUGGGGAAUAUUGCACAAUGGGCGGAAGCCUGAUGCAGCAACGCCGCGUGCGGGAUGACGGCCUUCGGGUUGUAAACCGCUUUCGCCUGUGACGAAGCGUGAGUGACGGUAAUGGGUAAAGCAGCACCGGCUAACUACAUG